GCCAGACUCCUACGGGAGGCAGCAGUGGGGAAUAUUGCACAAUGGGGGAAACCCUGAUGCAGCAACGCCGCGUGGGUGAAGGAGCGUUUCGGCGCGUAAAGCUCUGUCAGCAGGGAAGAAGAAAGACGGUACCUGACCAAGAAGCCCCGGCUAACUACGUGCCAGCAGCCGCGGUAAUACGUAGGGGGCAAGCGUUAUCCGGAUUUACUGGGUGUAAAGGGAGCGUAGACGGCAGGGCAAGUCUGGAGUGAAAGGCAGGGGCCCAACCCCUGGACUGCUCUGGAAACUGUCCGGCUGGAGUGCAGGAGAGGUAAGUGGAAUUCCUAGUGUAGCGGUGAAAUGCGUAGAUAUUAGGAGGAACACCAGUGGCGAAGGCGGCUUACUGGACUGUAACUGACGUUGAGGCUCGAAAGCGUGGGGAGCAAACAGGAUUAGAUACCCGAGUAAUU
rnacentral:rRNA from 1 species